UACGUAGGGUGCUAGCGUUGUUCGGAAUCAUUGGGCGUAAAGCGCGUGUAGGUGGUCAUCUAAGUCGAGUGUGAAAGCCCUGGGCUCAACCCGGGAAGUGCAUCCGAAACUAGUUGACUAGAAGACAUUAGAGGAAGGUGGAAGUCCAAGUGUAGAGGUGAAAUUCGUAGAUAUUUGGAGGAAUACCGGCGGCGAAGGCGGCCUUCUGGGAUGCUCUUGACACUGAGACGCGAAAGCGUGGGUAGCAAACAGG
rnacentral:rRNA from 1 species